AUAAUUUUAUUACCAAGGUCCAUGUCCAAAAAACAUGGUGUUACCAAGGUCCAUGUCCACAAAACAUGGUAUUACCAAGGUCCAUGUCCAAAAAACAUGGUAUUACUAUGGUCCAUGUCCAAAAAAAAUAAUUUUAUUACCAAGGUCCAUGUCCAAAAAACAUGGUAUUACCAAGGUCCAUGUCCAAAAAACAUGGUAUUACCAAGGUCCAUGUCCCAAAAACAUGGUAUUACCAAGGUCCAUGUCUAAAAAACAU